rnacentral:snRNA from 1 species
GAGGGCGCGGCGGUCGCU